CUCUGAUCACAUCAACAACUGCCUACCAUGAAGCAUCGUUACCUACAAUAUGAUAAAUGCUGUGUUUAGAAGGUCUCUGGUUCGAGCCCAAGUUGGGGCAAGGAGAGGGAUGGAAGCAAUAGCAUUGCUGCUGUGGACCCGGAUCACUCAGUUGGGCUCUGCCCGGUUGCUGCGGAGAUGGAGGAGGUCAAAGGGGGACCUGAGCCCUGGGACCUUGCCUCAGGACUGCCAGGCCUAAUGUCUCCUUGCAGUCCUCAGUCCACCUGGUCAUGCUGCUGCUCCAGUUUCAAUUGUUCUGCCUGCGGCUAUGGAACCCUGACCUGUUCACCGGACAUGCUACCUUGUCCCGGACCUGCUGUUUUGACUCUCUCUGAAUGCUUGGCUGACAUUUACUCCUGAAGUGCUGACCUGUUGCACCCUCUACAACCACUACGAUUAUUAUUAUUAUUAUUUGACCCUGCUGGUCAUCUAUGAACGUUUGAACAUCUUGGCCAUAUACUGUUAGAAUCUCAACCCGGCACAGCCAGAAGAGGACUCGCCACCCCUCAUCCCUCAGAGCCUGGUUCCUCUCUAGGUUUCUUCCUAGGUUCCUGCCUUUCUAGGGAGUUUUUCCUAGCCACCGUGCUUCUACAUCUGCAUUGCUUGCUGUUUGGGGUUUUAGCAUGAGUUUCUGUAUAGCACUUUGUGAAAUCGGCUGCUGUAAAAAGGGCUUUAUAGAUACAUUUGAUUGAUUACAUUCCCCACAUACCUUAAAAAGUAUUCAGCAUUCAUAAUUGAUUUGAAAAACACAAUUUCUACCAUAAUUUCUCGUAAUAAAAAAGUUAAAAGAACAAUCAUACCCUGUCGAACAAAUAAAAAUGUUGAUCUUUGGAAAAUGUCUCCUAUAUCUGCCGUGUCUAUUACACAUGUUGCAAUACAUUUUUUUUUGCGACAUUGCUUUUGUUGAAUGAACCCGGGUUAAUGGAAACCUGUGCCUACUGGCACAAUCAGUAGGCUAGAAUGGCGUCUUUUUGUAGGCACUAACUCCACCAUGGUUUGUUGGACAAAGCCUACGGGGAAAUGAAUGGCUUUUUGGUAGG
ensembl:lncRNA